rnacentral:snRNA from 8 species
AUACUUACCUGGCAAGGGAGAUACCGUGAUCAAGAAGGCGGUUCACCCAGGGCGAGGCUCAGCCAUUGCACUCCGGCUGUGCUGACCCCUGCGAAUUUCCCAAAUGUGGAAAUCUCGAUUGCAUAAUUUAUGGUAGUGGGGGACUGCUUUCGCGCUCGCCCCUG